CCUCGUCGAUCUGCUGCGGGCAGAUGAAGUGGAUGUGCGUGUCGAUGCCGCCGGCCGUGACGAUCAUGCCCUCGCCCGCAAUGAUUUCCGUGCCGGGGCCGAUGACGAUGGUCACGCCCGGCUGCAUGUCCGGGUUGCCGGCCUUGCCUAUGCCUGCGAUCAGCCCGUUCUUGAUGGCGAUGUCGGCCUUGACGAUGCCCCAGUGGUCGAUGAUCACGGCAUUGGUGAUGACGGUGUCGGCACAGUCGGCGGCCAUGCGCUGGCUCUGGCCCAUGCCGUCGCGGAUG
rfam:Delftia acidovorans SPH-1, complete genome.